AGCGAACGCUGGCGGCAGGCUUAACACAUGCAAGUCGAGCGGGCACUUUCGGGUGUCAGCGGCGGACGGGUGAGUAACGCGUGGGAACGUGCCCUCUGGUUCGGAAUAACUCAGGGAAACUUGAGCUAAUACCGGAUACGCCCUUUUGGGGAAAGGCUUGCUGCCGGAGGAUCGGCCCGCGUCUGAUUAGCUAGUUGGUGAGGUAACGGCUCACCAAGGCGACGAUCAGUAGCUGGUCUGAGAGGAUGAUCAGCCACACUGGGACUGAGACACGGCCCAGACUCCUACGGGAGGCAGCAGUGGGGAAUAUUGGACAAUGGGCGCAAGCCUGAUCCAGCCAGGCCGCGUGAGUGAUGAAGGCCUUAGGGUUGUAAAGCUCUUUUAUCCGGGACGAUAAUGACGGUACCGGAGGAAUAAGCCCCGGCUAACUUCGU
rnacentral:rRNA from 1 species